rnacentral:rRNA from 1 species
GAAUCUUCCACAAUGGACGAAAGUCUGAUGGAGCAAUGCCGCGUGAGUGAAGAAGGGUUUCGGAUCGUAAAACUCUGUUGUGAGGGAAGAACAAGUACGAGCGUAACUGCUCGUACCUUGACGGUACCUCAUUAGAAAGCACAGGCUAAUUACGUGCCAGAAGCAGCGGUAAUACGUAGUUGGAGAGCGUUGUCCGGAAUUAUUGGGCGUAAAGCGCUCGCAGGCGGUCCUUUAAGUCUGAUGUGAAAUCCCACGGCUCAACCGUGGAAGGUCAUUGGAAACUGGGGGACUUGAGUACAGAAGAGGAAAGCGGAAUUCCAAGUGUAGCGGUGAAAUGCGUAGAGAUUUGGAGGAACACCAGUGGCGAAGGCGGCUUUCUGGUCUGUAACUGACGCUGAGGCGCGAAAGCGUGGGGAGCAAACA